rnacentral:rRNA from 1 species
UGGCGGCAUGCCUUACACAUGCAAGUCGAGCGGCAGCGCGGGGGCAACCCUAGCGGCGAGCGGCGAACGGGUGAGUAAUGCAUCGGAACGUGUCCUCUUGUGGGGGAUAACCAGUCGAAAGACUGGCUAAUACCGCAUGAGAUCGAGAGAUGAAAGCAAGGGACCGCAAGGCCUUGCGCGAGAGGAGCGGCCGAUGCCGGAUUAGCUAGUUGGUGGGGUAACGGCCUACCAAGGCGACGAUCCGUAGCUGGUCUGAGAGGACGACCAGCCACACUGGGACUGAGACACGGCCCAGACCCCUACGGGAGGCAGCAGUGGGGAAUUUUGGACAAUGGGGGCAACCCUGAUCCAGCCAUGCCGCGUGUGUGAAGAAGGCCUUCGGGUUGUAAAGCACUUUCGGACGGAACGAAAUCGCGCGGGUUAAUAGUCCGCGAGGAUGACGGUACCGUAAGAAGGAGCACCGGCUAACUACGUGCCAGCAGCCGCGGUAAUACGUAGGGUGCGAGCGUUAAUCGGAAUUACUGGGCGUAAAGUGUGCGCAGGCGGCCGCGCAAGUCGAGUGUGAAAUCCCCGAGCUUAACUUGGGAAUUGCGCUCGAAACUACGUGGCUGGAGUGUGGCAGAGGAAGGUGGAAUUCCACGUGUAGCGGUGAAAUGCGUAGAGAUGUGGAGGAACACCGAUGGCGAAGGCAGCC